UACAGAGGGUGCGAGCGUUGUCCGGAAUCACUGGGCGUAAAGGGCGCGUAGGUGGCGCGACAAGUCAGUGGUGAAAGUUCGACGCUCAACGUCGAAUCGGCCACUGAUACUGUUGGGCUUGAGCACUGUAGAGGCUAAUGGAAUUCCGGGUGUAGCGGUGGAAUGCGCAGAUAUCAGGAGGAACACCGAUGGCGAAGGCAGGUCUCUGGGCAUUAACUGACGCUGAGGAGCGAAAGCAUGGGGAGCGAACAGG
rnacentral:rRNA from 1 species